AGUUGAGCCAAUAAAAAAAAGCCCCUCGAACUAAUUAAAAAUUACCACUCAAGUCCCUCACCUAAAAAUCCCCUAAAUUCUUGCCGUUUAUCCUGCGUUCAGUCUGACCCGUAAAUCGAAAAAAGGAAAAGGGUAUUUUCGUAUUUUAAAUAAUCAUCCUCCUUCAUUCCAUUUCCAAAACUUGCAGGCUUUUUUCUACUUCAUAGCCUUUUUUUGAUCGUCGCGCGGCUCAAUGAAACCGCCAAGCUUCCGAAGCAAUACACCGGAAAGGAAGGAAAAACAGUUAGAGGGAGAAAAAAAGAGAGAGAAAAGCCUUUAGAGAGAGAGUGAGCAACGAGCCGAUGGCGAUCCCCGAAACCGAGCGCCACCACCGCGGCCGGUCGGCUCGACCGCCGGCGGCAAGAGCAAGGGUUCCGUUGAGGCGGUUACUACGAGUGGCGUCGGUGGCGUGUGGAAUUCAGUUCGGCUGGGCUCUUCAGCUCUCUCUGCUCACUCCCUACGUGCAGGAGCUCGGGAUUCCACACGCUUGGGCCAGUGUGAUAUGGCUUUGUGGUCCUCUCUCCGGUCUACUUGUGCAGCCGCUGGUCGGACAUACGAGUGAUCGCUGUACCAGCCGGUUCGGUCGCCGGAGGCCGUUCAUCGUCGCCGGAGCGGUUUCUAUCGCCGUCUCUGUGCUGAUCAUCGGCCACUCGGCGGACAUCGGGUGGCUGCUCGGCGACCGGGGUACUGUUCGACCGAGGGCCGUGGCGGCGUUUGUGUUCGGUUUUUGGAUUCUGGACGUGGCUAAUAAUAUGACUCAGGGUCCUUGUAGAGCUCUACUGGCCGAUCUCACCGGAAAGGAUCAUAGAAGAACUCGUGUAGCAAAUGCUUAUUUCUCUCUGUUUAUGGCUGUUGGUAAUGUUCUUGGCUUUGCUACCGGAGCCUACAGUGGCUGGUUCAAGAUUUUUCCAUUUACACUUACCUCCGCAUGCAAUGUUAAUUGUGCAAAUCUCAAGUCGGCUUUCAUUCUUGACAUAGUCUUCAUUGUAAUCACCAUGUAUAUAAGUGUAUCCGCAGCUCAGGAAGUGCCUCUAGGUUCUAGUGAUAGCCGUGCACCCUUUAGUGAAGAGGGGCCAGGGCAGUCAAACGAUGCUCAAGAAGCUUUUCUCUGGGAACUAUUUGGUACAUUUAGAUACUUCUCAAGGCCGAUAUGGAUAGUACUAUCUGUUACUGCUUUAACCUGGAUUGGGUGGUUUCCAUUUUUUCUCUUUGAUACUGAUUGGAUGGGUCGAGAGAUUUAUGGUGGCAAGCCAAAUGAAGGGCAGAACUAUAGUUCUGGCGUUAGAAUGGGUUCGUUUGGUCUCAUGUUUAAUUCAAUUGUCCUUGGAAUAACUUCAUUGCUCAUGGAGAAGCUUUGCAGUAAAUGGGGGGCUGGUUUCAUAUGGGGUCUCUCAAACAUUCUCAUGGCACUUUGCUUUCUUGGGAUGCUUGUUACUGCAUAUGUAGCCAAAAGUAUUGGCCAUGUAGGGCAUAAUUCACCACCAUUUGGCAUUGUAGUAGCUGCACUAGUGCUUUUUACUAUUCUUGGGGCUCCAUUGGCAAUCACGUAUAGUGUUCCAUAUGCCUUGAUUUCUACGCGUAUUGAGGCUUUGGGACUCGGCCAAGGGCUAUCAAUGGGUGUCCUGAAUCUGGCUAUUGUAAUUCCGCAGGUGGUGGUGUCUCUGGGAAGCGGACCAUGGGAUCAGCUGUUUGGGGGUGGAAAUUCUCCUGCCUUCGCUGUAGCAGCUGUUGCAUCCCUUGCCAGUGGAAUUGUGGCCAUCUUGGCUAUUCCUCGAACAGGUGCUCGAAAGGCCAGGGCUGUCACAUGAGUGAAUUUUCUAGGUGGUAACAACUUUGAUUAUUUGAGUCAUUUACCCAAGAUUCUUGUCCAGGCAUUGGGCAAUGGUGGACACAUCAUUUUCAAGGAGUUAUGGGGAACAAAUUAGUCAUAAAGCGAUAGUUUUUCAUGCAUGCGGGGCAACUCAGAUAAUAUUGUUGUAGUAGCUGUCACCAAAUGCUGGGUGAGACAAGUUAUCUACAAUUAGUGGAGAAUUUCUCCAAUGAAAAUCCAGCCCACCUACUGGAAAUUUUUUUUUUUUUUUUUUCUCUGCUUUAUGGCUAAUUGCCUCACAAAAGUAGGUGAAGCCUCAGCUGUAGAUUCCAAAAUUACUUCUAAGACUACGUUCCCUACCAACCAAGAUAAGUUGUUGUGUUAGGGAAUUAUUCCUCAUGCAAAUAUUAUUUUUCUUUGCAGAUUUGUGAGAUCAGUGGUUUCAACCAUGUAAUCAUGAUGUAUUGGAAUCUCCUAAAUUUUGUGCAUGAAUUUGCUGUAUGAAUGUAGUAGUGAAAUGCGCUUGGUGGCCAACAGUGAAUAUGUGAAUUGUACUGAUGGAAACCUUGAUGGAGACAUCUCCUUUGAUCUGAUUUUAUAUUUAUUUAAAAUUUAAAAAAAAAAAAAAAAGCUCAAGUAAUAUGUCA